rnacentral:rRNA from 1 species
GGCUCAACCUCUUCGAGCCGUUGAAACUGGUUUUCUUGAGUGAGCGAGAAGUAUGCGGAAUGCGUGGUGUAGCGGUGAAAUGCAUAGAUAUCACGCAGAACUCCGAUUGCGAAGGCAGCAUACCGGCGCCCGACUGACGCUGAAGCACGAAAGCGUGGGUAUCGAAC